rnacentral:rRNA from 1 species
AUUGAACGCUGGCGGCAUGCUUUACACAUGCAAGUCGAACGGUAACAGGCCUUCGGGUGCUGACGAGUGGCGAACGGGUGAGUAAUGCAUCGGAACAUACCCAGUCGUGGGGGAUAACGUAGCGAAAGUUACGCUAAUACCGCAUACGUCCUGAGGGAGAAAGCGGGGGAUCGCAAGACCUCGCGCGAUUGGAGUGGCCGAUGUCAGAUUAGCUAGUUGGUGGGGUAAAGGCUCACCAAGGCGACGAUCUGUAGCGGGUCUGAGAGGAUGAUCCGCCACACUGGAACUGAGACACGGUCCAGACUCCUACGGGAGGCAGCAGUGGGGAAUUUUGGACAAUGGGCGCAAGCCUGAUCCAGCCAUGCCGCGUGAGUGAAGAAGGCC